GGGUUUACUAACAAUGUUCAAAUGGCUUGAAAUAGAUCAUGAGGUUAGCCUCAGUAUUUGUAAAGCAGUAAAGCUAUCAAAAUAUUGGUCAGCAUAUUAAUUACAUUGCUCCAAUGUCUCGUCUUGGGAGAUAUGUCCCUUUUUUGCCUUUUUUUUUAAUAAGCUGUAGGAGUACUUUCUGAAAGUAUCAGAGUAGUUUCCAGCAACUGGGGUAAUUUUAGGCAUGUAACCAAUAAAUAACCUUUCCACCAGUAUUUUAACUCGUUGACACUUUUAUUCAGUGUGAAUUACACUUUUUUUCUGAGUCAGAGGUAUUCCUGUCGAAAUUUUGUUUUCAUUUUUUUCAAAUUUAGACCAAUUUAAAUAAGAUCAUAAAGUUUUUAGCUUUUUUUCUUUAGUAAAACUUUAAUAUCAUAUGCACUGAAUGUAACUUUUUAAUGUAAAUAUUAUUAAGUAAACAUGAUUAAGUUUGCUUUUCAGUUCAAUAUAUAAAAUGUACUGAGUAUGAUGCAUUACUGAGAAUGGCCUGAGCCUGUAUUCAUAAAAAUACUGAAGUUAAGAUUUCCAUUUAGAGUACCAGUAGACGUCCAUUGCUUUUGAAGAAAAAACUGUCCUUUACGAACAAAUAUAACCUUAAGAUGUGUUAUGCAUACGGGCCCCCAUUUUUCAGCUUUAUAUUAUUUUGUCAGUUUUGUUGACCAAAUAAAGAUAUUGAAGGAGA
rnacentral:lncRNA from 1 species